GGUUCUACUGAUUGAAGUCAUCCUGUCUUGUGACUCAUGCAUGGCACAUGUAUUAAGUCAAAUUGGAAUCCACUAAAAUAAGUCACCUGGGAAAAAAUUCUGAUCUUAUUCUAGAUAAAGAAUGAAAAGCCAGGAAGCUACAUAACCCAAGGGUCCCCAGUUUGAAAUGUCUUGUUACUGCUGACAAGACCUGCAUGACUGACCAUUUGCUCCCUAAGAGAUGAAACUGACAUCACUUUGAAGUUCAAAAUGACACUGCCAAAACAAGAAAUGGAAAAUAACUGCAGCACGUUUAUGACAUUGGUUUCUUUCUCCACAUGAAACAUACAAUGAGAACACUUUGUAGAUGAAUUGUGCCUUCAAUUGAAUACAGGAUGGUGGACUAGCUUGGGUUUUAUGGAAUUGGAUAAUUUGUCAUAGUUUCUGCCCCUGGAAAAAUGAUAACCCAAAGGAAAACAGGUGGAAAAACUUUUAAAAAUAGUUAUACAAUACACAGCUGAUAUUUUUGGUUCAUAGAAUACUUUAAAGGACUUAAUUUACAAAGCAAAUUACUAAAUUAUAAGAAAUGCUGUCAUCAUCAAUAAACAUUCACAGAGCUUCAGGUUUUAACACAAA